rnacentral:rRNA from 1 species
GAUGAACGCUAGCGGCAGGCUUAAUACAUGCAAGUUGAGGGGCAGCAUGAUAUACGCGAGUAUAUUGAUGGCGACCGGCGGACGGGUGAGUAAUAGGUAGGAGACCUACCUCAUACAGGGGGAUAGCAUAGAGAAAUCUGUGGUAAUACCCCAUGAGGUUAUAUGAAUAGAGGCAUAUAAUCAAAGCAUAAGCGAUUAUGCGGUAUGAGAGGGGCCUACUGACCAUUAGCUAGUUGGUGAGGUAAGGGCUCACCAAGGCGAAGAUGGUUAGGGGUUUUGAGAGAGAGACCCCCCACAUUGGAACUGAGAGACGGUCCAGACUCCUACGGGAGCAGCAGUAGGGAAUAUUGGGCAAUGGGCGAAAGCCUGACCCAGCCAUGCCGCGUGAAGGAAGACGGCCUUAUGGGUUAGUAAACCUUCUUUACUACGCGAAUAGAGGUUAGUACGAGAUACUAAUAGGAAGGUAGUAGUAGUAAAAGCAACCGGCUAACGUCCGUAG